rnacentral:lncRNA from 1 species
CUCCCUAUACCUCUGUGCUUCCUUCAGGGCACUCGGUUGGGCUUCUUGGAAUCUCUGUUGGCUUAUUUCUGUGUUUUUGUUGUUGUUUGUUUCCAGUGGCCUCGAGGAACUCAGGACCUCCAGCAUGCUAGGCAAGUGUUCUACCACUGAGCUACACUCCAGCCCUCUGAGUCACAGCUGAUAAUGACCACAUGCACACUGACUGAGAGUGUUGGUUGUCUCUGCUGGUGAAUGAGAAGGCAUCUAGUAUCCCAGGCUGUCCAGGAUGCAUAGCCAACCAGCAAAAAAGACCCUGUGUGGCCAAGAGCUCUCUGCCCCACCCCUCCUCAG